GGACAGAGAGAGCUGCCUGGGAGCCCUUCCUCCCUUUAGUUCUGGAGGAUGAGGACAAAGGUGGAACCAAGAGUUGUUCCCAAACCGUGUGGGAGGAAGGGCUGGGCCGAAGUCACCUUCGGAGAGCACCUUCAUUAGCUACCUGUUCUUCUCACCUCCUUAUCUUGCUGAUUCUGGAAAUACAACACACUGAAAGAGAAGCACUGGGCUCGGAGUCACAGCAAAUAGUUCAAGGGCAGGAGGAUUACAGGAGGACACUACUGCUCUUCACAGAAAUCAUCAGAGGGCAUUGUCCAGUUCCCCACAAAGAACCUGGGGUCGCCUGGGAGCCCUAGUUCCUGAGAAUAGGGAGCCUCAGCCAGAGAGACACAGGAACCAGGAUCUUCCCUCAAGCCAGGAUGUGAAGCCGUCAAAGGAAGCCGAGACCUCCCAGAGGGAGAGACGAGGACCCUCAGGGAAUACAGAUCACUCGCAUACACACAAGGGCCAUCUGUCCAGCUACGGGUGUCUCUUAACAACAGAGAAUCCCAGGGAAUUCACCAAAAUUAAGAAAGAGGCUUCUAAGGAAUGCAAAACAUUCCUAGGGCCAGGGGCAGGCUGGCCUCCAGCCUGUGGCCUUGACAUGAAGAAAUAAAAGAUGCUUCAGUUGAGUCGACCUCCUCUCUCUAACGCUAAAGCCCACCCUCCAAGUCGAGACUGGGUCCCCAAAGGCUUGUGUGUUAGGAGAAGGCAGAGCCGUAGACUUGCUGGACUUCUGAUGUUUUCUCUCUAUUUUAGAAUGGGUGCUGGCUUUGUAUCCCAGCAAAAAGGAUAAACAUUGUCAUUUCAGCUGGGAGAGCAGAAUGACCCGUGGUUCAUUAGUAUUCACCAGAGCAAUAGUACAGAUAAGACCCAUAUACAACCAGGGGUCAGUGUCUUCCACAUCUGACUAACUGGAGCUCAAACGUAAGCUGGAAAAGCACUGCAACUGUAUUAACAUUAUAGAAUUUCCCGUUAUUCGCCUCUAGGCUUUACAGUGAGAAUCACUUAUACUGUGUUCCCAUUGUUUUAUGGAAUGACAUCCGUCAGUGUAUGGAAGCAUACAGGAGACGUACAUGGAAAUACCACACCAUUUCAUCAAGGGCCUUGGGUAUCAGCAUCUUUGGGUAUACUUAGUGGACUGGAAUCAGUGGCCCCGAGAUUAUGGGCUGGUGGAUGGAAGAGGCAGGACCCACAGGCUGGAGAUUAAGACAACGGUUGAUGUUGAAAUCUGAAGUCUUCGCACUGGUGAUCUGGGAACUCAGUCAACUGCUGAGUAAAAUGGCUGACAGUGAUGUGCUUGUGUCAUAAAACCUCAGGCUUUCCUCUGGAGCCCACAAACUGGUCAAGUAAGGCUCACUCACACCGAGGAGGCCAGUCUUCUUCUUCAAGGGUUUAUUGAGUAAUAUGUUAAUCUCACUUAAAAUACUUCUACCAUAGCAACCAGACUGGCAUUUGAUCCAACAGCUGGGCCUCUGGGCCUGUAGGCCAGCCAAGCUGCUGCAUGAAAUUAGCCAUCACACACAGUGAUGGCCUAUUCUGGCACGUGACCAGUAGUCUAAAUUGAUUCAUGUCCCCAUGAGGAAAGACUCCGUGCAAAGUGUGAUCCUAUAGCAAGCCUUCCAAGACUGCUCGGAAUGGAGCCAUCCUCUCUUCCUUGUAUCUCAGUUAUGAGUCUCACCGUGUAGCUCAGGCUGGCCUUGAACUCACAAGCAGCUAGAAUUUCAUGCUUUAAUGUAUGUCUCCAUGCCAUCUGUGGCAAUUCAGGGAACUUUUGUUCCUCCUCGGCUUUAUGACUUUAUGUUAUGGAUUGCCAAACAUUUUCUGUGAAUGGGCAAUGGAUAUUUUCAAGGUAUCGCAACCACUCAAGCAAAAGUAAUCAUCAACCAUAAGGAAAUACGUGGGUGUCGCUGUUUGACAAUAAAACUUUAUUUAUAAAACAGGCA